UCAGACCAUUAGUCCAUCUAGCUCAGUUUUGUCUACAUCGACUGGCAACAACCCUCCAGGGCUUCAGACAGGAGUUCUUCCUAGCCAUACCUGAAGAAGCCAGGGAUUGAAUCUGGGACCUUCUUCAUGCAAAGCAGAUGCACUAUCACUAAGACCUAAACAUGCUGAGGACAGAAGCAUGGUGAUGGUCACCUGACCUGACCUGUGGGAAAUGAAAUCUGGAAUAAUUCUUUCUCAUAGUUUCUACAAGUCACCAGGAUACUGUUGUGGAAUUUUCUCCUUAAUGGAGUCCUUGUCCAGGAAACAACACUGAGGAUCUCCUGGAUGGGACACUGAACUGGUUGGACUGAGAUCCUCAUUAUCGAAUUGGAGAAGAAAGACCACUGUAUGAAGAGCAAAGUUCUUUCCCCCCCCCCCCCAUUCCAAUUUACCUGAAUUUCCAAAUUAUUCAGCUUUCCUUUCUACAGGACAAAGAGCAUUUUGUAUAAUGUUUGAUGCUGGAGCAAAAUUUCACUAUCUGUAUGCUUCUGCUGGAGAAAGGAGCCAAUGCCUACAACCCCUGAUGUCUCCUGAAAAUCUGCUCUGGGGGAUUGGGGACCCUCAGGAAAAGUGGGUGUGGGAGGUCGCAUUAAGGGCUGCAGGGUGAAGGGGAAAUCAGCAAAACAUGGUCUCCUCUCUUUCUGCAAUAGCAGCUUCCAGUGGAUGUGGGAGGUAGGGCUGCCAGCUAUUUAAGCCCAUGCUGGCUGCUGGGGUGUGUGUGUGUUACCUUGGAGGGAGAAGCUCCUGCUUUGCAGAUCAUGGAACAGGAGCUCCACUCUCUCAGACUAAGGAUGGGGCCCUUCUGGGCUGCAGGGUCCCUCUGGUCCUUGCCCAACCUGGCCACCCACUGGUGCCAGGCCUUGCACAGAAGGAAAUCCUUGCACGAACAGGAUUGCUUCAUUGGAUACAACCCAUGAAUUUUGCUAGUUUCUACUGAACAAAAUUGGUGGAGAAAUGUGUUGAAAGGAACAUUUUGAUACAUAUCAGAUUCUGAUAAUGUGCUUUUUGAACUAACCCUGGUCAAUUCAUUAGUUAUUGUUAUAUGUAUCUAAUAAGUGUUAUUUGACAUUGUUCAUUCCUUCAAUUGCACCAAUACAAUAUUAAUGUAUUGUUUCAAUGAAUGUUGUGCACCAUGUAUGAU